rnacentral:rRNA from 1 species
AGUGAACGCUGGCGGUAGGCCUAACACAUGCAAGUCGAACGGCAGCACAGUAAGAGCUUGCUCUUACGGGUGGCGAGUGGCGGACGGGUGAGGAAUACAUCGGAAUCUACCUUUUCGUGGGGGAUAACGUAGGGAAACUUACGCUAAUACCGCAUACGACCUACGGGUGAAAGCAGGGGAUCUUCGGACCUUGCGCGAUUGAAUGAGCCGAUGUCGGAUUAGCUAGUUGGCGGGGUAAAGGCCCACCAAGGCGACGAUCCGUAGCUGGUCUGAGAGGAUGAUCAGCCACACUGGAACUGAGACACGGUCCAGACUCCUACGGGAGGCAGCAGUGGGGAAUAUUGGACAAUGGGCGCAAGCCUGAUCCAGCCAUACCGCGUGGGUGAAGAAGGCCUUCGGGUUGUAAAGCCCUUUUGUUGGGAAAGAAAAGCAGCAGGUUAAGACCCCGCUGUUCUGACGGGACCCAAAGAAUAAGCACCGGCUAACUUCGU